rnacentral:antisense_RNA from 1 species
UGUGGGAGCGGGCUUGCCUGCGAUGAGGUCGGCACAUUCAACAUUGUAGUUGAGUGAACCGCCGCUAUCGCAGGCAAGCCCGCUCCCACA